rnacentral:rRNA from 1 species
UACGUAGGGGGCUAGCGUUGUCCGGAUUUAUUGGGCGUAAAGAGCGUGUAGGCGGCCAGGUAGGUCCGCUGUGAAAGUCCGAGGCUCAACCUCGGAAUGUCGGCGGAAACCCUCUGGCUAGAGUCCGGAAGAGGAGAGUGGAAUUCCCGGUGUAGCGGUGAAAUGCGCAGAUAUCGGGAAGAACACCCGUGGCGAAGGCGGCUCACUGGUCCGGUACUGACGCUGAGGUGCGAAAGCGUGGGGAGCAAACAGG